UAUCACGCUGAAACACCGAUUCCGGACGAUCACCGAAGUUAAGCAACGUCGAGCUUGGUCAGUACCUAGAUGGUUGACCACUUAGGAAUACCAGAUGCUGUAA